rnacentral:sRNA from 1 species
CAAGCUCAAGCUCGUCGUGUCGAAUAUGGGUAUGAUGACUUUCUAGAUUUGUGCUUUUUGUAAACAGUGGUGUGAGAAUUAGCUGCUUAUAUCACAAAAGAUUCUUAAGACUCUACAAGAAUUAAGCUGUAGAAGAUAAUACAAUGAUAUAUCAGAGAGAAUUUGAAUUAAUAUCAAGAUUGUAGAAUGUAGAGAUCAGAUUAAAACAGAAUUAUCCACUGAUCUCUAGAAGAUUGAGCCAGCUGCUAUCUAUAUACACAGUAUCAUAAACAGAUUAAACUUGCUAUAAUGUAGAUGGUAUAUUCCUUUUUUUAUGAAGGAUAAUCAGAGGGAGUGGUACGUAAUGUGCGGUUGUAUUGUAUUCUUUUCCCGCUUUUCUAUUGUCACGAUCUAUCCUCCUGCUUUAUCACUUGGGACGAAAUACGAAAUUGCUGCGAUUUUAGGUGCUUGGUGAAUACGAAACAACUAGUUGGCCUGGAACACACACAAUCACGGUAGGUUUGGAAAAACCAGUUGAACUCUUAUCAGGGACACCAUUCUCUUCAAGUGGGUGGAAAAAAACUAGAGAGAAGGAAGUUCGGUUGCGCAAUCACCCAGUUUGCUUCACGGGAUGAGUGGGACGGAGAGGUACCGGAGCCGGCAAGACUGAGACUGAGUUGACUGGUCGUUAGGAGGAAGGACAGGACUGAAAAUAACGAAUUCCCCAUUCAAUUGGUGGGCCGUGGGUAGUAGUAUCAAUUCGUGAAAGCUAGUGAUUUUUGGCAGGUCAAUGGUCGCGUUGGGGGAUAUGAGGACACCUUCCCUCAAGUCCAGUCCAAUGCAUAUGAAGAAUAGACAGCUAUUUCUUACCGAUAGUUGA